GUGGGUAUAGCUCAUGCAGUAGAGCACAUGCUUAGCAUGCGUGGGGUCCUGGGUUCAAUCCUCAGUACCUCCU
rnacentral:tRNA from 1 species